rnacentral:rRNA from 1 species
AUUGAACGCUGGCGGCAGGCCUAACACAUGCAAGUCGAACGAGUGGCGGACGGGUGAGUAAUGUCUGGGAAACUGCCUGAUGGAGGGGGAUAACUACUGGAAACGGUAGCUAAUACCGCAUACCAUCGGAUGUGCCCAGAUGGGAUUAGCUUGUAGGUGAGGUAACGGCUCACCUAGGCGACGAUCCCUAGCUGGUCUGAGAGGAUGACCAGCCACACUGGAACUUAGAAAAGGUACAGAAUCCUACGGGAGGCAGCAGUGGGGAAGAUUGAACAAUGGGGGAAAUUCUGAUGCAGCGAUGCCGAGUGUAUGAAGAAGGCCUUCGGGUUGUAAAGUACUUUCAGCGGGGAGGCGUUACCCGCAGAAGAAGCACCGGCUAACUCCGUGCCAGCAGCCGCGGUAAUUC